rnacentral:tRNA from 1 species
UUUUAUAUAGUUUAAUAAAAAUAUUAUAUUUUCAUUAUAAAGAUAAUAAAUAUUUAUUUAUAAAUA